rnacentral:snRNA from 1 species
AUACUUACCUGGCAGGGGGGAUGCCAUGAUCACAAAGGUGGUUUUCCCGGGUUGAGGCUUAUCUACUGUUCUCUGGAUGUGCUGACUCCUAGGAUUUCCCCAAAUGUGGGAAACUUAACUGCAUGAUUUGUGGUAGUGGGGGACUGUGUUCAAGCUAGAGACCAA